rnacentral:rRNA from 1 species
UCCGUAGGGGAACCUGCGGAGGGAUCAUUACCGAGUUUACAACUCCCAAACCCAAUGUGAACGUUACCAAACUGUUGCCUCGGCGGGAUCUCUGCCCCGGGUGCGUCGCAGCCCCGGACCAAGGCGCCCGCCGGAGGACCAACCAAAACUCUUUUUGUAUACCCCCUCGCGGGUUUUUUAUAAUCUGAGCCUUCUCGGCGCCUCUCGUAGGCGUUUCGAAAAUGAAUCAAAACUUUCAACAACGGAUCUCUUGGUUCUGGCAUCGAUGAAGAACGCAGCGAAAUGCGAUAAGUAAUGUGAAUUGCAGAAUUCAGUGAAUCAUCGAAUCUUUGAACGCACAUUGCGCCCGCCAGUAUUCUGGCGGGCAUGCCUGUCCGAGCGUCAUUUCAACCCUCGAACCCCUCCGGGGGGUCGGCGUUGGGGAUCGGCCCUGCCUCUUGGCGGUGGCCGUCUCCGAAAUACAGUGGCGGUCUCGCCGCAGCCUCUCCUGCGCAGUAGUUUGCACACUCGCAUCGGGAGCGCGGCGCGUCCACAGCCGUUAAACACCCAACUUCUGAAAUGUUGACCUCGGAUCAGGUAGGAAUACCCGCUGAACUUAAGCAUAUCAAUAAGCGGAGGA